UACAGAGGUCCCAAGCGUUGUUCGGAUUUAUUGGGCGUAAAGGGUGCGUAGGCGGCGGAGUAAGUUGGGUGUGAAAUCCCGGGGCUCAACCUCGGAAUUGCAUUCAAUACUGCUUCGCUCGAGUACUGGAGAGGAGACUGGAAUUUACGGUGUAGCAGUGAAAUGCGUAGAUAUCAGGAGGAACACCGGUGGCGAAGGCGGAUCUCUGGGCCAUUACUGACGCUGAGGAGCGAAAGCGUGGGGGAGCGAACAGG
rnacentral:rRNA from 1 species